UGAAAGUUUGUGGCUCAACCAUAAAAUUGCCAUUGAUACUGUUGUUCUUGAGUUAUUGUGAAGUAGUUAGAAUGUGUAGUGUAGCGGUGAAAUGCAUAGAUAUUACACAGAACACCAAUUGCGAAGGCAUAUCACUAACAAUAUACUGACGCUGAUGAACGAAAGCGUAGGUAGCCAACAGGAUUAGAUACCCUGGUAGUCUACGCUGUAAGCUAUGGUUACUAGCUGUUCGGAGCACAUUAGUGCACUGAGUGGUUAAGCGAAAGUGAUAAGUAACCCACCUGGGGAGUACGUUUGCAAGAAUGAAACUCAAAGGAAUUGACGGGGGCCCGCACAAGCGGUGGAGCAUGUGGUUUAAUUCGAUGAUACGCGAGGAACCUUACCAAGGCUUAAAUGCAUAUUGACAGUUCACGAAAGUGAAUUUUCUUCGGACAAUUUGCAAGGUGCUGCAUGGUUGUCGUCAGCUCGUGCCGUGAGGUGUCAGGUUAAGUCCUAUAACGAGCGCAACCCCUGUGGUUAGUUACCAGCAUGUAAAGAUGGGGACUCUAGCCAGACUGCCGGUGCAAACCGUGAGGAAGGUGGGGAUGACGUCAAAUCAUCACGGCCCUUACGCCUUGGGCUACACACGUGCUACAAUGGUAUAUACAAUGAGCAGCCAUCUGGUGACAGAUGCGCUAAUCUAAAAAGUAUAUCACAGUUCGAAUCGGAGUCU
rnacentral:rRNA from 1 species